GCGCGAUACAGGGUGACAGCCCCGUACACAAAAGCGCAUGUGCUGUGAGCUCGAUGAGUAGGGCGGGACACGUGGUAUCCUGUCUGAAUAUGGGGGGACCAUCCUCCAAGGCUAAAUACUCCUGACUGACCGAUAGUGAACCAGUACCGUGAGGGAAAGGCGAAAAGAACCCCGGCGAGGGGAGUGAAAAAGAACCUGAAACCGUGUACGUACAAGCAGUGGGAGCACAGGUUUACCUGUGUGACUGCGUACCUUUUGUAUAAUGGGUCAGCGACUUAUAUUCUGUAGCAAGGUUAACCGAAUAGGGGAGCCGGAGGGAAACCGAGUCUUAAUUGGGCGUUAAGUUGCAGGGUAUAGACCCGAAACCCGGUGAUCUAGCCAUGGGCAGGUUGAAGGUUGGGUAACACUAACUGGAGGACCGAACCGACUAAUGUUGAAAAAUUAGCGGAUGACCUGUGGCUGGGGGUGAAAGGCCAAUCAAACCGGGAGAUAGCUGGUUCUCCCCGAAAGCUAUUUAGGUAGCGCCUCGUGAAUUCAUCUCCGGGGGUAGAGCACUGUUUCGGCUAGGGGGCCAUCCCGGCUUACCAACCCGAUGCAAACUGCGAAUACCGGAGAAUGUUAUCACGGGAGACACACGGCGGGUGCUAACGUCCGUCGUGAAGAGGGAAACAACCCAGACCGCCAGCUAAGGUCCCAAAGUCAUGGUUAAGUGGGAAACGAUGUGGGAAGGCCCAGACAGCCAGGAUGUUGGCUUAGAAGCAGCCAUCAUUUAAAGAAAGCGUAAUAGCUCACUGGUCGAGUCGGCCUGCGCGGAAGAUGUAACGGGGCUAAACCAUGCACCGAAGCUGCGGCAGCGAACGUAUCACCCAAGACAACUUUACGGAGUUGACGAUUGACGGAGCGAAGCGACGUCAAAGCGUUCAUUAAAGUCGAGUUGGCUUAGGGAUACGUUCGUUGGGUAGGGGAGCGUUCUGUAAGCCUGUGAAGGUGUGUCGUGAGGCAUGCUGGAGGUAUCAGAAGUGCGAAUGCUGACAUAAGUAACGAUAAAGCGGGUGAAAAGCCCGCUCGCCGGAAGACCAAGGGUUCCUGUCCAACGUUAAUCGGGGCAGGGUGAGUCGACCCCUAAGGCGAGGCCGAAAGGCGUAGUCGAUGGGAAACGGGUUAAUAUUCCCGUACUUGGUGUUACUGCGAAGGGGGGACGGAGAAGGCUAUGUUGGCCGGGCGACGGUUGUCCCGGUUUAAGCGUGUAGGUGUGUGUUCCAGGUAAAUCCGGUUCACUUUAACACUGAGGCGUGACGACGAGGCACUACGGUGCUGA
rnacentral:rRNA from 1 species